AAAGGCCCAGGCCGGGAAAGGGACGAUCUUUUCCGUACGGUGAAAAUGGAGCAGGGCCGCUGCCGCCGUCGACUCGGGAGCCCGAGGUCCCCGAAGGCCGCUUCCCUGCUCCCCGGACGCGGCGUGGGAGGUGCGCCAACCCGGGAGGACUGGGAAGUGCCCGCAGAAGCGAUAACUGACGACUCUGAUGCCUGUGUGACUGCGGUCGCGGAAGCCUCAACGGUCGGGUUGAACAUCACUGCCACUACGUUCCCUUAACGCCUGUCGCCCUCCCGUGUUCCAGGUGGCACAUCCCUUGCAGCGCCUUCAGGCCAGGAGCGGUCUCCCACCCAGAGAUUGCACAUGAGUGCUGCGGGGUCCCCUGUGUGUGAUCAGAUCGAGACCAGCUGCUGAGUAGUCGAGGGAGGAGCACCGGCCUGCCGUUAAGGUUAAGGGAUGCCUCGCUUCAUUCCCCUCUGGGUUUUAUGUGCUAAAGAAUGGUGAUCGGUGGUGUGGAGUUUGAAAGAUCGUGGUGGCUGCAGCUCAGCCCAAGGGAGAGGCUGUCUUUGCAGAGAAUGGUCAGCCACGCUGCAGCAGGUUCAGAGUCCUGUGGUCACCAUCAGUUCGGACUGAAAACUCAGGCUUCAACAGUUGGUGUGGAAAGGGUGCUUACCUUGUGCUGAGAUGUGGAGUCUGUUCUCUUAAAAGUAAACCAACUCUUGUUGGCUAUUAAUCUUAAAAGCAGAGCCAACAAGUGUGUUUGGCAAACUGUAGUGUAGGCACUGUUGGUGUCAUUGAAUUCUUGAGUUUUCUAGUAAUGUACUAUAAAUCUCUCCUACCCAGAGAGCUUCUAUACUUUUAAAUAUUGUAUGAAUUUGUUCUGUUGGGUGAGGGUCUGAGUUCUUUAAGAUGCAAACAUAUUUCUUCCUGAAACUGAUACUUCUGUGCAAUUACCACAAACUGCAAUAAAGGAUGGUCUUUAGUACUGGUUUUUAAAAA